rnacentral:lncRNA from 1 species
UGGUCUUAUAAGUUUUAAAAAUAAUAUAAUUUCCCCCAGCUUUCUCCUGUUCAGACUGAUUCAUUAGUGUGUUUCUAUUUUUCUGGCAUCAGAUAAGUUUCAUUUAAAGACACCUACAAAACAUGGGAAGAAAUCCCCUCUGAGGUGAGGUCUUGGAUCAUAUGUGUCUUUUUCUUUCUGGAAAAGGCUAUUCUGCUCUGCUGGCAGGCCUGCCUUCUUUCCUUGGGCUUUAUUUCUCUGAUACAAGAGCUUGUUUGUUAGAAAUUAUCUAGUUUCUGCAAUGACUAGGAGAGUCUGACCUGCUUUUAACUGCCAAGAAAGCCUUUUUCUUCAUGAGCUAAUGCAAGUCCAUUCCCAUGAGACAGGCAAUAUGUUAUGACAUGCCUGUAUUUUGCAUGCUCUCUAAGAACAUCAAACCCUUAUGUCAGCCUCUUCUAGUGCAACAAAUUUUAUAUCUUCCUAAUUAAUUGAACCUGAAUAAUUAUCUUAGCUUUUCAUUUUGAAUUGAGGGUACUAUUUUGUUUGGCUGUUGGCUGAUGUUUUGUGAUUCUCUUCUUUUCCUGGUGCUUUCCAAUUAAGUAAUUUUCUCAGUCUCCUUUGAAUUUCCUCUUCCAUGGUCUGCACUCCACUUUGAUUAAGGACAUCAUUUCAUUCACAUAGGUUUUUUUAAUCUCCUUUGCCAGAGGGUUACAUCAUGCCCUCCAUUCCCAUUUUUCUUUCCAGAAAUCAUCAUGCUUAGUUCAUUUGUCACCAUAUUCUUCUCAUCAUUCUACCUGACAGCUUGAAAGAUUUCUUCUGGUCAUCUCCACUUCACAGGUUUCAUUUUCAUGCUAAAACAAAUAGCAAGGGUCAGCAGCAACCAAACAGUUAUGCUCCUCUCCAUGCCUCACUCUUAGCUCUUCUCUUAAAUCUUCUACUUGCCUACAUCAGACAGCAUCUCUUCAACUCAGUUCCUGGGGAAGAAUCCAGAACUGUGAGUUAGGUGCAAAGAUGUCUCCUACAAUUCAGGAGAAAGGGUAAAGAUACCAGAAUGGGACUGAAAACGACAAAUUGAGUGAUGCAUCCAGCAGAAGUCAAUGGGAAAUACUGAGAAUGGUGAGUUUUCUGAUUUCUUCCUAAUUAUUUUCAGGUCUGUGACUUCAGAUAGGGACUUAGCAGCAUAACCUUAUAAUGACUUCUGAUAACAAACCCAAAUAAUGGUUUUUACCAUGAACUCUGCAGUGCUUCUUAUUUAUUUUUUUACAGGAAAAGAAUGAUGCAUCACCUAUUUUCUGCAGUAAAGUAUAGUUACUAUGGACAUUCUGAAAAACAGAAGAAAAUUCAGUGAAAUCAGGCUACUACAAGUUCUUUGUAUUGCAUUUUGAAUAGUUUUCUUAAUCCUCUCUUCUGGAUCUAUCCUUAAGAAAGGUCAUUAUUAUAACAUAUUAUAUUAUAACAUAUAUGUUAUAAUAUAAUUAUAACAUUAAAUAUAUAAUUAUAAAACAUAUGUGUUUUAAAUUGUGCUUGUAUUGGUGAGAAGGUUGGAAUUAAAC